UUUGAACAUUAUUUUAGAAAAAAUAUUAAAUACAAAACAAAUAAAACAGUAUUCAUGCUUCAAAGCUUAAAAAGCGACUCUGUUGAGGAAAUAUUUUUACAAAAAUAAUUUUGUGAUCAUGUUAUAGAUGGAGAAAUAGAUAUUACUAUAUUAAAGAGGGUUUAAUUUUUAUGGUAACUUAGAAUCAGGAUCCAGGUGAUUUAGUGGUUCUUUUAGAUGCAUAGGAAAACAAAUAUAAUUUUAAUGUUUUAAUUUAGAGGAUGAAGACUCAUGACCAAAAAUAGAAUGAGUGGCUAUUUAGUUAGAACUCAUGUGAUGAUGCUGCAAUGUCAUUUUAAUUUAGGGGAGCUAUUAAAAUCAUGUGUAUGUCUUGAUUAGACUUGAGUGAGUAAUGAUCAAGUAACAUUUGCGGUUGUCUUGUUGACCACAUUAUAUACGCAACUCAAUUGGUUGAUGAAUGGUUGUUUACCAUUUUGACUUACCCCUUUCCAUUUCUAUAUUAGUGCCUUCGCCAACUCAUACAGUAUAUUUUAAUGCUAUACUAAUUUCUCAUUUUUUUAUUUCUCAUAUUAAUAUAAUAUUCCUCUUUUUCUUUUAUAAGGAAGGAAUUUUAUUUUCCAUUUCAAAUAUUUGGCAUCGGACCCAGAGUUUCUUUCUUCCAGUAUUUUUUUUUUGAAAGUGCAGCAUUUUUCAAUGAAAUAUAGGGACGGUUUGACCAGAUUCCUAGAUUUUGCAUUUGCCAAUGCAUCAUCUGAUGGGAUGAUACGUUGUCCAUGUCCGAAGUGUGGUUUCCGCCUCUUACAAAAUAGAGAGGAUGCGUUCGAUCACUUGGUGAUCAACCCUUUCCCGUCUACUUACACAUUUUGGA